GAUGAAGAACGUAGCGAAAUGCGAUAAGUAGUGUGAAUUGCAGAAUUCAGUGAAUCAUCGAAUCUUUGAACGCACAUUGCGCCCCUUGGUAUUCCAUGGGGCAUGCCUGUUCGAGCGUCAUUUGUACCUUCAAGCUCUGCUUGGUGUUGGGUGUUUGUCUCGCCUCUGCGUGUAGACUCGCCUCAAAACAUUUGGCAGCCGGCGUAUUGAUUUCGGAGCGCAGUACAUCUCGCGCUUUGCACUCAUAACGACGACGUCCAAAAGUACAUUUUUACACUCUUGACCUCGGAUCAGGUAGGGAUACCCGCUGAACUUAAGCAUAUCAAUAAGCGGAGGA
rnacentral:misc_RNA from 1 species